CUUCAUUCUGACCGUGUACGCUAAUGUAGAAACAAAAACUAUACCGGUUGAAGUCGCCAAACGCGAUCGGAGUUUUAUGUUACAUAACGAUUUUAUUGCAUUAUACAUAUGCCACGCUUUUGUCGAACUAAUCGUGCAUAGAUUUUUUUCACAGACACCUUCUCGGAAUAUGAGAAAUUAGGACCGAUCACUCGUCAUCCGAAGGCGCGAGAUUUUCUCCGGGGUCACGAUUUUUGGGGAAUUGAAAAACUCUGGUGUAUUUGUCGCGGAGGCCUUCUAUCCUCGGACCAUGGCCGCCCGCAUAACUACUGGAUUUCCGUCACGGCAGCGGGUGACAAUACGAACGCCGACGUUUCCGAGGAAUCUGCGCGAGUACUCGCCUAAUAAUUUUCACAUAUUGCGACGACAUUCAAGUCCCACGCUGGGCCGUCGCCAUAGCGACUCGAGAGACGUCGAAGGCAAUCGAUCGAAAGUUUGCCAGGGAAUCGACGCCAAUGAAUUUAAACGAAUUAGGGAACAUCGGAAGACUAUCAACCCUUAUUUACGAAUUACCCCUCUUUUCUGUUCCUUCAAAUUUCACUCACUCAAGUGCAUGGGGAGAAGCUGAAUUCACGAUACAUCGUUCGUUGUGGCCUAUCGUUUCGUUCCGAGAUUCGAAUCAAAUUAUGGAUAUAUUUUGUAUAAUUUUUUUUUGACAUCACAUCGUUACUUCAGUUUCGUAGCUUUCAUUCUUCCGAUCCGCGUCGCGCGUUACUUUAAGUUCAUGCGACCGUAUACGCAAUAUGGCGAGAUCGUGAGAAAAGGGAGAAGAUCAGGAAGGCAUGACGUUAAAUAAAACGCCCGGUGAUUUGGCCGGUUCACUGGUUGGAGCGAUUCCAGGUACAAUUAGGAAAGACCCCGCUGCUACCGUUAUGCUCAUUCGAAGAACUCCAGAUGGAUGCAUGGUUAACAAUUUUUGACAAAAAAUAAUUCGAUAUAUAUCACCGGCGCGCACGUGUCGUCGAAUCGCCACCAAUCGACAAAAAAAAACUUGGAUGAAAUUACCGUUCGAUCGAAAUCGGUGCGAAGAUCCGGAAAAAUUUUUUAACCGUCUUUGCUUUGACGAAUUUUCGUUUCGUCUUUAUCUCUAUGCAUUAUCACUUUGCCCACAAUACACGGUAUAUCUUUAAUGAAUAAAUGUAUGUAUACUUUUUGUAGAAAUACUACAGCCGCUCUUCGCAGCACUUUAUCUCGUCCAUUGAGGAAAUGGUUAA